rnacentral:rRNA from 1 species
UACGUAGGCAGCGAGCGUUGUUCGGAGUUACUGGGCGUAAAGAGUGCGUAGGCGGUUUUCUAAGUUUGGUGUGAAAUCUCCCGGCUUAACUGGGAGGGUGCGCCGAAAACUGGAAGGCUUGAGUAUGGGAGAGGUAAGCGGAAUUCCUGGUGUAGCGGUGAAAUGCGUAGAUAUCAGGAGGAACACCUGCGGUGUAGACGGCUUACUGGACCAUAACUGACGCUGAGGCACGAAAGCGUGAGUAGCAAACAGG